rnacentral:lncRNA from 1 species
AAUAAUUGCUUUCAAGAACAUCUCAUUUAAGAAACGGUGCCUGGAUGCUAUGGCAGUAAUAAAAUCUCCAUCAUUGCUGGUCUAUCAGGCUGCGCUGAGUUCUGUCCUGGAUUUCCCUCUCACAGUGCACAUCAGCCGCAGGUCGCGGUUUCGUCUGUCAGUCAGCAGCCACCACUGAGCUUCACUGGCAAUGGGACUAUGACUGCAGCUGGCCUCAGGGCCUCUGUCCUGGUGUCACCUUGCUGGGGUCACUGAGCGAGAAUGUUUUGUCAGGCUCGGACACAGCGUGCUGUACAGAUGGGCACUGGCAGCGCCUUUGUCCCCGACCCUUCCCAUCCUCACGGCUGCCUUGCUGGGAAUAUUCAGGCGUGCAGACGGCAAGGCUUCCUCCAGCUGAGUCAUCGCUGGGAAUCGGCAGAGAAUGCAGAAACGUUUUGGGAACUACAGAACAGGAAACUUUGGCUGAAGACCAGGCAGACUCCAGUACACAUGAUGAAGUCUCCAGACAUCGCUGCUACUAACCCCUCUUCAUCUUACAGUUUUGAAAGUGAGUUCUUUGUCUCAUCAUCUUCCUACAGAAGGAAUUAUCCCAAUAGUUUCAAA